UUUUCGAAUAACUUUAGGUAAGUCCUAUAGCACUUGCCUCUAGUGUCACCAAUAGCUAACAUUCUCUUCACCAUUUUCGAAUCUUGAAUGUGAAAAGCACCCUUUGCAAUUGCAACUAAAAAUUCCUUGAUAGCUAAAUGCCCAAACCAAAGAAAGAUGCAAUAUUAAAAGAGAAAGAAACUCUUCAAAAAAUAAAAUAAAAUAUCUAAAGCAUGUUCUAAAUGCUUUCCUAGGAAGAUUUCCAUGCAAAUGCUCACACAACCUUUCAAUAAUAGUAUCAUAAAUAAUUUUUUCAUCUUCAACAAAUACAUAUAAGAUGGUAAAUUCAUCUCAAAUUCAAGGUACUACUAACAAAGGAAAGGACAAAUUGAUUGAGUUCCUUUGUAGCUGUUGCUUGCUAUGUGUGUGUUGUCCACUAUGCUGUUUCAUCAAACCAUCAUGUAUAAUAUGUCAUCAAGCUCUGCGACGAGCGUGGCGUUGGUCUUGUUAUGGUCGGAAAAACAAGGUGUUUGCAGAUUAUUCUUCAUUUUCUGACCAUGAUUAAGAUAUCGAUUAAGAAUGUUAAUUUCUUCGUCGUACCGUUCGAACACAGUUGGCAAUGUUUGCAUGCAGAGAUAGCCUUGUUCAUUUAAUAAACCAUCAACAAAAAAAGAUAACUUGAUUAGUACAUUUAACCUUUAGUGUGAAAUAAAAAGGGAGAGAAAAAAAAUAAGAACUUGUUACCGAUGUAUAGAAGAUUAACGAAGCUGAAGUAGCUUCCAAUCACUGAGACUAUAUAGAGGGAAACAAUGAUCUGAAAUUGUUAUGAGAAAAUUAGUUCUGAAACUUUUUGAAGGGUUAUGUUAUAUAAUAUUGGUGAUAUAUACCAUAAGAAAGAGUGGUAGGUUUCUUCCACAUGCAAUAUGGAAAAGUAUUGGUAAUAACUGGUUGAGUCUUCUGUAGAGGAUGAAAGCAAGAUCAUUGAAGAAAGACUCUUGUAAAAUAAUUUCUGGUAUUUCAGGUAUUUUCCUGAAUAUAUAUAUUCAAAGAGAAUCAAAAAUAUUAUCUUAUAGUAAAUCAAAUUAAAUGUAACCAUUGUGUAUGUUAGAUAUAUACCAUUUUAAUAUAUCAGCAAAUUUGGAGCAAA